GAUGAACGCUGGCGGCGUGCCUAAUACAUGCAAGUCGAGCGAGCGGCGGACGGGUGAGUAAUGUCUGGGACACUGCCUGAUGGAGGGGGAUAACUACUGGAAACGGUAGCUAAUACCGCAUACCAUCAGAUGUGCCCAGAUGGGAUUAGCUAGUAGGUGGGGUAAUGGCUCACCUAGGCGACGAUCCCUAGCUGGUAUGAGAGGAUGACCAGCCACACAGAAACUGGGACACGGUCCAGACUCCUACGGGAGGCAGAGGUGGGGAAUAUUGCACAAUGGGCGCAAGCCUGAUGCAGCCGUGCCGCGUGUGUGAAGAAGGCCUUCGGGUUGGAAAGCACUUUCAGCGAGGAGGCGUUACUCGCAGAAGAAGCACCGGCUAACUCCGUGCCAGCAGCCGCGGUAAUUC
rnacentral:rRNA from 1 species